ACUAUCCCUCUCUCUCCUUUAGGUUCUGGUGGAGAGGAGGAAAAGCCAGUGCCACCCGGUGGUGCCACAGAAGAGGAAGGUUCCGGUGGAGAGUGGGAAAAGCCAGUGCCGCCCGGUUGUGCCAAACGAGGAGAAGGUUCCAGUGGCAAGGGGCAGAAGUCAGUGCCACCUGGUUGUGCCAAACGAGGGGAAGGUUCCAGUGGCAAGGGGCAGAAGCCAGUGCCACCCGGCGCUGCCAAACGAGGGGAAGAUAAAAAGGUGAAGGGACACAAAGGAAAGAUCCAUGUCUCUUAGCCACCAACCCACAGAAGAGAAUUCUGGCUCCCCCCACGCUUCGUCUGUUUGCUUCACCCAAUGGAAGAUUGUCACGUGCCAAUCGGCAGCUCUAUUUCCUGGGUGGUCCCAGCUGCUGAGAUGUCGAAUCGGGC